UUUCAGUUGGAGACCAGCUAGAAGGAUCAUUUUCAGUUUUUG
rnacentral:rRNA from 1 species